rnacentral:rRNA from 1 species
GACGAAGGGGGCAAGCGUUGUUCGGAAUUACUGGGCGUAAAGGGCGCGUAGGCGGCCUGAUAAGUCAGACGUGAAAGGCCUUGGCUCAACCUGGGAAUUGCGUUUGGGACUGUUGGGCUGGAGAGCGGGAGAGGAUGGUGGAAUUCCCAGUGUAGAGGUGAAAUGCGUAGAUAUUGGGAGGAACACCAGUGGCGAAGGCGGUCCCCUGGGCCGGAACUGACGCUGAGGCGCGAAAGCGUGGGUAGCAAACGGG